AUACAGAGGUCUCAAGCGUUGUUCGGAUUCAUUGGGCGUAAAGGGUGCGUAGGCGGCGCGGUAAGUCGGGUGUGAAAUCUCGGGGCUUAACUCCGAAACUGCAUUCGAUACUGCCGUGCUUGAGGACUGGAGAGGAGACUGGAAUUUACGGUGUAGCGGUGAAAUGCGUAGAUAUCGUAAGGAAGACCAGUGGCGAAGGCGGGUCUCUGGACAGUUCCUGACGCUGAGGCACGAAGGCCAGGGGGGCAAACGG
rnacentral:rRNA from 1 species